rnacentral:lncRNA from 1 species
UCUACUCAUCUGAUUUGUGAUUUGUAAAUGUCACAUACUAUAUUAGACUACCACAUCAAUCUCUUUUACAUAUAUAAAAAAACUCAUGACUUGGGGAUCAUUAUAGAGCACAACCGGAUGAGAUCCUAGCAUGUUGAUCAAAUCGCCGAGUAUAAAUCUUAAUCUGGUACCUUAUUGUUAGUUCGUUAAGUAGUGUUCUGAAACCAGUCUUAAACUCAUCAAAAGUAACAUUCCAGUCCUUUUUUUUUUUGAACACAAAGUAACAUUCAAGUCUUUUUUUUAUCAACAGUAACAUUCAUGUCUAAAACAAGUAAUCUACCACGUUUUACCUCGUCAACAAUAAACACCCACCCUUUAUUGUCAUCUAUUCUCCAUUC